AUUCUUAGAAAAUUUAGGCAAUAGAAAAACUUUUUGAAACGAUACAGAGAAGAUUAGCAUGGCCCCUGUGCAAGGAUGACACGCAAAAGAAAAUUUAGGCAAUAGAAAUGCAU
rfam:Camponotus floridanus CamFlo_1.0_2.contig1936, whole genome shotgun sequence.